UUUUUCCGUUACGAUAUCAAU
rnacentral:piRNA from 1 species